AGAAGAGCAGGGAGACACCAGGGCUCAGUCAGGCCAGGCACAGAGAAAGAGUACAAACUUUUCUCUAGGUCAAAACAGGUCACCAGACACAGCUGGAGUGCUCAGCUCCAGGAGGGCUGAGGGAUCUUGCCAUUUCCCAGCACAGAGGGACAUUCAUUCUAGCGUCUGGCCCCAAGACUCAACGGGCUCUUCUCUGAAGUUCCUUGGUCAGGAUCCUGCCUUUCUACCACUUGACCUGGUGGGGGCAGAGUGUCUCGGGCUUCCAAGUUCAGAUCAGCGCUCCCGAACUGAACGGAAUCAUAAAGCCAGGAGCAUCCCAGCUUGGGCUGAGCCUGGGCUAUGAAUUACCUGUGGAGCGAAGGCUGCAUUUUGAGGCAGAGGCUACAGGAGCAGAUGGCUGAAGUGGGUCCUAAAUCCUGCAAGGGAAAUGGGUUUGUUUUCUUUAAACUUAAGAGAAUAAAAGAGUUCUAACCAA